rnacentral:tRNA from 1 species
GGGCCGUUAGCUUAGUUGGUAGAGCGCCUCGUUUGCAACGAGGAGGUCACCGGUUCGAAUCCGGUACGGUCCACCG